rnacentral:rRNA from 1 species
GAUAAACGCUGGCGGCGUGCCUAACACAUGCAAGUCGAACGAUCCCGCAAGGGAGAGUGGCGGAAGGGUGAGUAACACGUGGGAAUCUACCUCCUCGCAGGGAACAACCUCUCGAAAGAGAGGCUAAUACCCAAAAGGGUCAGAAAUGAUCAGAGUCGAAAGGCGUGAGGAGUGGAGCCCGCGGCCCAUCAGCUAGUUGGUGAGGUAAUGGCUUACCAAGGCUACGACGGGUAGGGGAUCUGAGAGGAUGUCCCCCACACUGGAACUGAAACACGGUCCAGACGCCUACGGGUGGCAGCAGUGAGGAAUAUUGGACAAUGGGCGAAUGCCCGAUCCAGCAACGCCGCGUGGAGGAUGAAGGCCUUCGGGUCGUAAACUUCUUUAGAGGGAGACGAGAAGGACGGUAUCCCUAGAAUAAGCGACGGCAAACUACGU